CCCAGCCCUGUGCCCUGUGAUGGACUGGCAUUCCACCCAGGGUGUACCCAGCCCUGUGCCCUGUGAUGGACUGGCAUCCCACCCAGGGUGUACCCCAGCCUAAUGUCUUUCUCUCCCUGGGCUACUCAGACAAUCAGUUCUUACGACCGCUGGUAGGUUUUCUGUUUUUUUCAUUUUAAUGGUAUAUGCUGCACUAGCUGUUCAAAGGGUAUUUGUGUUUAACAAGUUUCUGUCUUUUUAAGGCUACAAUGUGGCUCUUGCUUUUUUCCCUCUGCGCUGAUGUCUCAGUGCUGGGCAUAAACUUUCAUCCAUUUCCUCUUCCUUAAAAUCACUGGUUGAGCAGGCAGUACCUGCAGCUCAGAAAUAGGAAGUUGCUGUUUUGCUCUGCACAGGUCUUGCAUGCAGUGCCCAUCACCAAAAGCAGAGCAGGGGAAAUAUGCUGAUUUGUUUCCAUUUCAGGAGGAGGGUCAGGCCCAGCAGCAGGCUCCACUUCUGUCUGCCUGACAAGUCCCUGCGUGAUGUUUUUAGAUACAGGAAUUACCGAGAAUGUUUCUGAAUACAGGGCAAAUGUGUAGCCUUGCGUCUCAUCUUCAUCUUCGCAUUGACCCACUGGCUACCAGAUCCCCGGAACGUGACCCUGAUAAGAUUACAGACUUUGACUCGGACAUCUGCUUACCUUUUUGGCUCUUUCUGGUUUCGACCCUGCUUGCCUGAGCAACUCUGUUUCUGCCUGCUCUCCCAUGGGUGUUUCUGUUUUCUAUUCUAUUUCUUUCUUCAAUUUCUAUUCAUAAUUUAUUCAUUAUAUAUUGUUCAGUACACUCACUGUUUCACCUGAUGGUACUAUUUUUCUAGUUUCAUAGCUUGAAAAAAUAUUUGAACACUCACAAUUACCAUAUUAAAAGUUUCCAAAGAGUU